AAUGAACGCUGGCGGCGCGCCUAAUACAUGCAAGUCGAGCGAGAAGACGUGGCAAUACGUUUGUAAAGCGGCGAACGGGUGAGGAAUACAUGGGUAACCUACCCUCGAGUGGGGAAUAACUAGCCGAAAGGUUAGCUAAUACCGCGUACGCUUCUUGGACUUCGGUUCAGGGAGGAAAGCGAUGCCGAGGGUAUCGCGCUCUUGGAUGGGCUCAUGUCCUAUCAGCUUGUUGGGAGGUACGC
rnacentral:rRNA from 1 species